AAUUCACCUAUUAAUGGCUUGUCUCUGCAUAUUAAGCACAGAUAGGAGAAAGUUACAUACUUCAACUUUAAAAUGAAAAUAAAUACACAAAUUAAAAUUUAUGUUGCAAUAUUUUGUUAUUAAAACUGAACUAAAACUGAGAAUUUCAGCUGGGCUGAAGACAUCAGGUAUGUUCCAAAACCUAGUGUGCUUCUAUUGGAGGUAGCAUUUUAAGGCAUCAUAGGCGAGCUUCCGAAGGCUGUUCCAAAAGGCGACCCCGUAAUGCACCAUGAUGAGCUCAGCGGAGAAAUAAAUCCAAGCUGGCGGUCGAACUGCUGAUCAUGGGAGGGUCGUUUGGAUUGAGAGAAUUCACACAGUUUGGAUAUGAUGCACAGAAGAUAAGAAAUAAGGCAAGUUCACAGACUUGCUUUGUAUCUUUAAAACUAUGAUAGAGUCCAUUAUCCAUAAUAACAGCUGAUUCCCUGCAAGCAUGAUGAACUUCUGCACCUGUCUCUCUUUUACUGCUGGAGAAGCAUUAAUUGUCAAGCGGUUGAGUAAGACAUAAAAUGAAGGCCUCAGAUAGAAUAUGGAGGUGGAUGGUUUGAAUUUUCUGAAACAUAAUCUCUCUAUUGUACUGUACUCUUGAGCAAACAAUUGAAUCCCUCUCUCACAAAUCUUCUCUCCUAUUUAUCACCUUAUGUUUUUGUUGUGCGUGUUCAAGAUGGACCCUGCCAAAGUGAAUUCUCAAAAACAGUCUGUCAUCCUUGAAGAAGAGUAUGAGGUAAUGAGAGAGAGUAAUGUAUAGAUGGGAGAUUAGCCAUCUGUCCACCUGUGUUUACUCAGUAGUGAGGCUGUGAAAGCCUGAUGGUUAGAGAUCUGGCUUGCUACAUUCAAUCUAUUGAGUUCUCCACAUUUUUUUAAAUGAAAGUGUCUGUUUAUCUGUUUAGUCCCAGCUAAGUACAAUUGAUGGCCCUUAGUUAAUCUGUCUGUAGGUGGCUGAAUCCAUCCACAGCACUGCAAAAAAAAGACACUAUCAGGUUGUCAUUAUACUGCACUGGUGAAAAUAUUUAAAAGCUUUAUUUUUAGCCCCAGAGCCAUUAUCAGGGGUUACAGUGCCUGAGCUUCAGCAGUAAAUAAUUGUGCAUUAAAUUGUAUCUGUCAGUACCAGACAAUUAAUAGAAGAGUGCCCUCUAGUGGAACCAGGGAAGUUUAUUAAAAAAACAUAAUAAUAAUACAAAAUACUUUAUCUCAUUUUAGCCAAAUAUAGAGAAAUGAGAAAUAUCGUCAAUUAAAUUCCCCUAAAAUAGUAACCACUGUGGCUCUGUGGUGCUAUCAGAAUAUUGCUUUGUUUGUUGGAGCAUCAUGACCAGCCUGACAUAGCAACAUUGGCUCAAUCAAUGCAUGAGUUUGGGGCGGGACUUUGUUUGGUCAACAAUAGCAGAGACAGAGGGACCUUUUAGGAAACCUGUUUGAAAACAAUCGUAAUUUUGUUGCACUAGUUGAUGCUAGUGUAACAGAAAUUACACACUUAAGCAUUAAGCCACUACACAGCUGCUUAUUAGAUGGUGCAUAUUCAUCUGGGUCAUGUGUCAUUUUAAUUAGACUUUUAGAUCUUAAAUUACCUAACAUUUAUUAGACACCUGCACUACAACUGACCUGAUCUAGUUGUUAUGACACUUUAGGGACUCAUCUGUAUGCACUUGUACUGUAUCAUCCAGGCCAUUUAUUAGUUUUGCAGUGACAUGAUUAGAAGUUUAAUGAAUUUGCUGUUACUAUGGAUUUACUAUUGGCUGUUGUAGCCUAACUUUGCAAUUGUUGUGUUCUCACCUGACUGAUCUUGUAGUUGCCAUUAAAAGAAUAGUUUACCCAUAAUUUAUUCAAAAUUAAAAUGUUGUUCCAAACCCAUAUGUUGUUAUUUUGACUGUGAAACACAAUAGGAGAAAUUCUGAAGAAUCUUUAAGCAGCUUUUAUCCAUACAAAGACUCCUAUAAGAAAAAAAGAAAAAAAAAAAAAAAAAAAAAAAAGAUUAAAGUAGUUCAUACAAUUUAUGAGCUAUUUUCCAUGCAUUCUGAAGCCAUGCAAUAGCUUUGAAUUGUAAGUGUGUUGUAAUGGAAUGUGACAAACCAGUCUGAUAUGCGGAAUGGAGAAUGAGAUUUGAGAGUUGCAUGCAGAAAGGAAGGUUUUUAGAAAGUAACAACACACACACACACAAAAUAUAUAUGUAUGUGUGUGUGUGUGUGUGUGUGUGUGUGUGUGUGUGUGUGUGUGUAUAUAUAUAUAUAUUAGUUGAAAGCUAUUUGGUUCAUUAAACUAAGCUUAACAUUGUCUUUGUGUUUGUUUUUAAGUUGCCACAGUAUGCAAUAGACUGGCAUGUCUUAAGGUAAAUAUUAGGUCAAAAAUGGCAAAAAAGAAACAGCUUUCUGUAGAAACUCAUCAGUCAAUCAUUGUUUUGAGGAGGCUAUGCAAUGCUUCAAAUUGCCAAAAAAACACUGAAGAUUUCAUACAAAGGUGUACACUACAGUCUUCAAAGACAAAGGACAACUGGCUCUAACAAGGACAGAAAGAGAUGUGGAAGGCCAGAUGUACAACUAAACGAGGAUAAGUCCAUCAGAGUCUCUAGUUUGAGAAAUAGAUGCCUCACAUGUCCUCAGCUGACAGCUUCAUUGAAUUCUACCCGCUCAACACCAGUUUCAUGUACAACAGUAAAGGGAAGACACGGGGUGCAGACAUUAUGGGAAGAAUUGCAAAGAAAAAGCCACUUUUGAAACAGAAAAACAAAAAGAAAAGGUUAGAGUGGGCAAAGAAACAGACAUUGGACAACAGAUAAUUGGAAAAGAGUGUUAUGGAUCUAAACCACAUUGAGGUUUUGUGGGAUCAGUUAGACUGUGAGGUGCGUGAGAAGUGCCCAACAAGACAGCCACAUCUAUGGCAAGUGCUACAGGAAGCGUGGGGUGAAAUGUCACCUGAGUAUCUGGACAAACUGACAACUAGAAUGCCAAGGAUCUGCAAAGCUGUCAUUGCUGCACGUGGAGGAUUUUUUGAUGAGAACACUUUGAAGUAGUUUAAUUUUUUUCAGAUUGUAAUAGUAAUUUUCAUGUUAUUAAUGUCCUGACUAUACAUUAGAUGAAUGCCACUUUGGUGAAUAAAAGUACCAAUUUCUUUACAUAAGAGCAAAAUCUGUACAUUAUUCCAUUGGCCACCAGUAUAAAUAUAUAUAUAUAUAUAUAUAUAUAUCAUUUUUUUAUUUUUUAUUUUUUGCUUACACAGAGCUAUCUUAUGACAAAAAAACAAAACAAAACAGAAUUAUAGUGCAAGAGUCAUAUAAAAUAAUUGUAUGUACUUUUAUGGCAUGUUUUUUUUUUUUUUUUUUUUAGCUUGAAAGCCAUGGUCACUAUAAACUGUUGUUGAAUGGCAAAGAGCUGUGAGAUGAUUCUCCUGUUGUGUUAUAUCGAAAAAAUAAUAGUAUGCGGAUUUGGAAUUACAUGGGAAACUGAAGGGUCUGGAUUUGGAGGGAUGGAAGAACAUUCGUGGCCCUGUGGCGCUGGGAGAAUUCCAAAGAGUACCAGGAGCAACAGCGAGCUAGAUUCAAUAAAGGCACAUAGAACUAUAAAAAAGGUCUCCCCCUGCUGGCUUAGAGGUGUAAGACAUUCAUCAAACCUGUGAAGUGUUCCUGCGUAAGCGUGACUGAAAAAUAAAUCAGCUCUAUUAUAUGUUAUGAUAUUUGACCAAAUACUUCCAGUUUGGAUUCUAUUUCUGAUUGCACGGUUGUGGAAAGCCACUUAUUAUUGUUUUCUUGAGACUUGGAAAUAUAAACUUUUUUAUUAAUGUGUGGCUGUAAAUAUACAUUUUAAACAUUCAGUUCUACACCUUUAAAAUUAUUUAACUUAAAAUAUUUUCUAAUCAUUUUAGAUGUCUUGAAUGAGUUUGUUGUAUCAUAAUUUAAAGGUGAAGUGUGUAAUUUAUUUGUGUUAAAAUACUUUCUCCCAUCCCGGCUUAAUAUGCAGAGACAACUGUAAGUAAGACAUUUGAAGGUUGACUUUCUCAAAAAGUGUAAACAAUGUGCCUCUGUAGCUCUAUUAAAACAUUGCUCUGUUUGUCUGAGCGAUCCAACUUUUGGCUCAACCAAUUGUGCACGUCUUGGGCAAGACUUCUGUUUGGUGGUGCUAGUGGUGCAAAUAAUUAUGCAACAUCUUCAAAGAAUAGUGCACCCAAAAAUGAAAAUUCUCUCACCAUUUACUUGACUUAAUCCCA